GGGAAAAAGGACAAGAUGGGUGGAGUUGUCCAAGUCCAUGGCGCUCUCGGGAUACAGAAUCCGGUGAGUCGUCUUAGACCCCACAUCCUUCUCAUAACCUUUGGUCGGGCCUUUAUUUAUCCUGAGAGAACAACACAGUACCUAAUGACGACAUCAUGGAAAUCUAUGAGAGACCCAUAAUGGGAUCCCAGUAGGUUUGCCGAGUUUCCCACCACAGCACAGGUUCUGCAGCGGUCUGGACCGGCGUCUGAGUAGUGAUCUUCAUCAGGAAAUAGAGAAAACAUCUGAUCCACCACCUCUGUGUAGUUAACUCGGAACGUGGAGGGUUGUAGACCCUGUACAAAUAUUUGAAAGAUCAAGAUAAGCAUCAAACUAGUUUACUUAGUGACUGUAUGCAAAGCACAUCAAGAUAAGUCUGUUGUUUUAUAGCUUCAUAUUCACAUUGAGAAUUUAAACAUGAUUCUAGGGUGUUCCUCACCUGAUCGCAUGACUAGUUUUAGUAAGAUACUGCAGGAUGUUAUCCUGUUAUCAAGAUGUAUGUGCGGAAAUGUAGAAACUAAGUUGUUUUAUUUCGGCACAGAACAAGUAAAAUAAAAUGAAAAAGAGGUACUUUUGAGGUAUGCUUUGGUUGUAGAAUAAAAUGUGAAAGUCUCUUCAAUUCAUGUUAAAAUACUUGAUUUUGCUCAUAAGUUGAAAACUGCCAUUGUAAAAAAAAAUAAAAAUAAAUUCACAAGGGA